GCCUUCAGCGACUGCGGAGGACAUUACCGAGUGUAGGGUUCCUAGCGAGCCCAACCUCCCACCCGUGUUUACUGUACCUUAGUUGCUUCGGCGGGCCCGCCAUUCAUGGCCGCCGGGGGCUCUCAGCCCCGGGCCCGCGCCCGCCGGAGACACCACGAACUCUGUCUGAUCUAGUGAAGUCUGAGUUGAUUGUAUCGCAAUCAGUUAAAACUUUCAACAAUGGAUCUCUUGGUUCCGGCAUCGAUGAAGAACGCAGCGAAAUGCGAUAACUAGUGUGAAUUGCAGAAUUCCGUGAAUCAUCGAGUCUUUGAACGCACAUUGCGCCCCCUGGUAUUCCGGGGGGCAUGCCUGUCCGAGCGUCAUUGCUGCCCAUCAAGCACGGCUUGUGUGUUGGGUCGUCGUCCCCUCUCCGGGGGGGACGGGCCCCAAAGGCAGCGGCGGCACCGCGUCCGAUCCUCGAGCGUAUGGGGCUUUGUCACCCGCUCUGUAGGCCCGGCCGGCGCUUGCCGAACGCAAAUCAAUCUUUUCCAGGUUGACCUCGGAUCAGGUAGGGAUACCCGCUGAACUUAAGCAUAUCAAAAGCCGCGGAGGAAA
rnacentral:rRNA from 1 species